rnacentral:rRNA from 1 species
UUGGGUUAAGUCCCGCAACGAGCCCAACCCUUUUCUUUUGUUCCCAGCGGUUCGGCCGGGAACUCAAAGGAGACUGCCAGUGAUAAACUGGAGGAAGGUGGGGAUGACGUCAAGUCAUCAUGGCCCUUACGAGUAGGGCUACACACGUGCUACAAUGGCGCAUACAAAGAGAAGCGACCUCGCGAGAGCAAGCGGACCUCAUAAAGUGCGUCGUAGUCCGGAUUGGAGUCUGCAACUCGACUCCAUGAAGUCGGAAUCGCUAGUAAUCGUAGAUCAGAAUGCUACGGUGAAUACGUUCCCGGGCCUUGUACACACCGCCCGUCACACCAUGGGAGUGGGUUGCAAAAGAAGUAGGUAGCUUACACCUUCGGGAGGGCGCUUACCACUUUGUGAUUCAUGACUGGGGUGAAGUCGUAACAAG